UACGGAGGGUGCAAGCGUUGCUCGGAAUUAUUGGGCGUAAAGCGUGUGUAGGCGGUUUCCUAAGUCUGGUGUGAAAUCCCGGGGCUUAACCCCGGAACUGCAUUGGAUACUGGGAGGCUAGAGGAUGGUAGAGGAUGAUGGAAUUCCAGGUGUAGGGGUGAAAUCCGUAGAUAUCUGGAGGAACAUCAGUGGCGAAGGCGGUCAUCUGGACCAUGCCUGACGCUGAGACACGAAAGCGUGGGGAGCAAAC
rnacentral:rRNA from 1 species